GACGAACGCUGGCGGCGUGCCUAACACAUGCAAGUCGAACGGGGAUAAUUUAGCAGCAAUGCUAAGGGAUCCGAGUGGCGGACGGGUGAGUAACGCGUGAGCAAUCUGCCUUUCAGAGGGGGAUACCAACGGGAAACUGUUGUUAAUACCGCAUGACAUAUACGGACGGCAUCGUCUGUAUAUCAAAGGAGCAAUCCGCUGAAAGAUGAGCUCGCGUCCGAUUAGAUAGUUGGCGGGGUAACGGCCCACCAAGUCUGCGAUCGGUAGCCGGACUGAGAGGUUGAACGGCCACAUUGGGACUGAGAUACGGCCCAGACUCCUACGGGAGGCAGCAGUGGGGAAUAUUGGGCAAUGGGCGAAAGCCUGACCCAGCAACGCCGCGUGAAGGAAGAAGGCCUUCGGGUUGUAAACUUCUUUGACGAGGGACGAAAGAAAUGACGGUACCUCGAAAACAAGCCACGGCUAACUACGUG
rnacentral:rRNA from 1 species